GGACUACAGGGGUAUCUAAUCCUGUUUGCUCCCCACGCUUUCGUGCCUCAGUGUCAGUAUGAGUCCAGGAGGCCGCCUUCGCCACUGGUGUUCCUUCCGAUAUCUACGCAUUUCACCGCUACACCGGAAAUUCCACCUCCCUCUACUCUACUCUAGUCAGUCAGUAUGAAAUGACUUUCCCAGGUUAAGCCCAGGACUUUCACAUCUCACUUAACUAACCACCUACGCACCCUUUACGCCCAGUAAUUCCGAUUAACGCUCGCACCCUCUGUAUUACCGCGGCUGCUGGCAC
rnacentral:rRNA from 1 species